GACGAACGCUGGCGGCGUGCUUAACACAUGCAAGUCGAACGGUAAGGCCCUUCGGGGUACACGAGUGGCGAACGGGUGAGUAACACGUGGGUGAUCUGCCCUGCACUUCGGGAUAAGCCUGGGAAACUGGGUCUAAUACCGGAUAGGACUCCUGGCUUCAUGGUUGGGGGUGGAAAGCUUUUGCGGUGUGGGAUGGGCCCGCGGCCUAUCAGCUUGGUGGUGGGGUAAUGGCCUACCAAGGCGACGACGGGUAGCCGGCCUGAGAGGGUGACCGGUCACACUGGGACUGAGAUACGGCCCAGACUCCGACGGGAGGCAGCAGUGGGGAAUAUUGCACAAUGGGCGCAAGCCUGAUGCAGCGACGCCGCGUGAGGGAUGACGGCCUUCGGGUUGUAAACCUCUUUCAGCUAUGACGAAGCGCAAGUGACGGUAGUAGCAGAAGAAGGACCGGCCAACUACGUGCCAGCAGCCGCCGUAA
rnacentral:rRNA from 1 species